rnacentral:rRNA from 1 species
GACGAACGCUGGCGGCGUGCUUAACACAUGCAAGUCGAACGAAGAGCGAUGGAAGCUUGCUUCUAUCAAUCUUAGUGGCGAACGGGUGAGUAACGCGUAAUCAACCUGCCCUUCAGAGGGGGACAACAGUUGGAAACGACUGCUAAUACCGCAUACGAUCUGACCUCGGCAUCGAGGAUAGAUGAAAGGUGGCCUCUACAUGUAAGCUAUCACUGAAGGAGGGGAUUGCGUCUGAUUAGCUAGUUGGAGGGGUAACGGCCCACCAAGGCGAUGAUCAGUAGCCGGUCUGAGAGGAUGAACGGACACAGUGGGACUGAGACACGGCCCAGACUCCUACGGGAGGCAGCAGUGGGGAAUCUUCCGCAAUGGACGAAAGUCUGACGGAGCAACGCCGCGUGAGUGAUGACGGCCUUCGGGUUGUAAAGCUCUGUUAAUCGGGACGAAAGGCCUUUUUGCGAAUAGUGAGAAGGAUUGACGGUACCGGAAUAGAAAGCCACGGCUAACUACGUG